rnacentral:tRNA from 1 species
GAUUCUUUAGUAUUAUUUUGGUAUAUUUGUUUUCCAAACAGAAGGUUUUGAGAAUUU